rfam:Lachnoclostridium sp. An169 An169_contig_3, whole genome shotgun sequence.
GCGACAGUGGCUCAGCUGGUAGAGUACGACCUUGCCAAGGUCGGGGUCGCGGGUUCGAACCCCGUCUGUCGCU